GCGUGUUCUGAGCCUGGGAGGAACGCCAGCGCUGUCCAUCAAAGCCCAGGUGGUCCAGCACCUGUUCCAUCCUCCAUCCUGCAGAAGUCAGGGACCCAGCAUGAUUGGCUUCCUCAGGGGAAACUUGUCACUGUGGAGAGUGACAAUGGCCACCAUUCGAGAUUCUGUAAGGAUUCUGUCCUUAAUUACAUCAUCAGCCUGCAACGGCAUCCCAGCCUAAAAAGCAGCAUUCUCCUCUGCCAGCAUGGCCGCUGCGGGCGGUGGCCAGCCAUGAGGAGCAGCAGCGCCACAGCAUAACCAACAUUGGUGCCAAAACCCGGGAUAGACCACCGAGGACCUGCUGACUGCUGCCGCUUCCCACCUCCUCCCCCAUCCAGCGAGACCGCGAGACCGCAAGCGCGUGCGUUCCUGGCCUCCGCUGGACCCCUACACAGCUUCCACUACUCCUACUGCCAUGAUUCUUCUGAUUCUUCACAGUGAGUCUGCAGUUCUCAUGGCUGUAGUCUGAGUUAUAUUCUUUGUGAUGGACACCCCGGGGGUUGUCCUCGGGCUGUACUGGCAACGGCAGGCACAUUUUCGCUCCUGACGAGGGGUUCAAUGCUGUCUCGGGUCUACCGGGUGGACCAACUGCAGUGCAGCCACAGCCCUUCCCAUCCCUUGACGAAGAGGAUGGCGAACUUGAGCUGAUUCUUAGAUCUCUCUUCACUCUCGGGGACGCCCGAGAUUGGAGUCUAAUCCCGGUUUGUUAUUUUAAUUUUUUAUUUUUCUCUUGGCUACAGCCAUGAGACAAAGGGGCGGAUACAUUUACCACCUACAUUGGUGGAUGGGACAGGCACCGGUAAACCUGGCUGCAUAACAGAGUCGCAGGAACUUCUGCCAGUGAGCAGGCAAAUAAGAGUUACUUUAUCUCUAAGCUUUCUGCUAAAGCACUAAACCCUUCUCCUUCCCCACUUCUGCGUCUGCCAUGUGCAACCUUUUCUGUCUGACUUCCGCCAGCAGUGGGCGGGCUCAAAUGGGCGGGCUUGGGUGGUUUCUACGACUUGCCCUAACUCACCUUAACUCUACCCACUCAUUCUCACGUGCAUAUAGACAGGGCCCUGAUCUUUGCCUUGUCCCUAAUUCCAAAAAAUAAAUUCUCAUGCACCACAAGCUUUUCUCUUCCCAGUUCCCUGUUCUAACUCACUGUUCAGCUAAUGGGACAGGACCACCACAGAACUGGAGUCAAGAGAUCAUCAACAUCUUGUCAAACAGAAAGUUCCCAGCCACAGCCAAGAGGGAUACAUGUUUCCAGAGCAAACAGAUGACAGACAGCAUCCCACAACGCCUGUCUGCCUCGGAAGACUUCCCCAAGAGCCAACCGACGUCCAAUUGUCAGCUGGAAGCAGUUCUUGAGGGGAACGACGCCCCUAGUCCCAUCUACCUGCUUUUUUUAUAAUAAGCGAAAGUCUGGGAUGUAAGGAUUCUGUCCUUAAUUACGUCAUCAGCCUGCAACGGCAUCCCAGCCUAAAAAGCGGGUGGGCCCUCUAUGUGUCCCUCUCUUUCCUUUCUGCUCCUUCCUUCCAUCUGCCUCUCUCUCUCUCCUCCCUCCCUCUCUCU